AAUUCAAUGAGAAACAAUAUUCAGGUCAGGUCAAAGCCUAGAGAAAAAUGCGCAUUCAGAAGUGGGCUGCCAUCCUGCUUUUUCUGAAGUGAACAGCUGCUGGGUAUUGAAACCAGCCCUCACGGUUGGGUCCCUGCCACCAUGGCAACACUCUGGUUUCUGAGCUGGAGUGGCCAAGGCACAAUGGGGUGGUUCCAUGGCCCAGAAGCACUCUAGCUACAGAUUAGAAUGAUGACAAGAGUAAUACCUUCCUAGUGAAGAUGACUUUUAUUUCAGGACUAUAUUAAGUUUCCCAACUUCUGUCAUGAUAUAGUCCAAAGAGAACCUGGACCACGCAGACAUCAAACAGAACAUGACACUGACCCAUUCUAUCAGUGACGUUGUGCUGAUUGCACAGGACAGAUGAGAGGCUCGUAUACUAGAAGUCUUGUUAUCCACAGAAGGAAUGAUCUGCAAUGUACACACGCCAGGACAGAAAUUCUACAGUUGCUGAUAAAAUGUAAACCUAUGAGCUCAGAAAGCUGCUGCUGUUGAUUGUCUGGCCAUGGAAAGAGUUCUCAGUCAAAUGAAAGUCUCUGCCUUGGGAUUUAUUAAACACUUUUAUUCUUUGACUUUUCACACAAAUUUUGCAGCAUCAGGUAUCCCCUCCCCUUCUGCUGUCUGCCAUAGUGGAAACAGCCUGAGGCCCUUGCCAGAUAUAGAUGUUCAAACCUGGACUUUCCAGCCACCAGAAUCGUCAGCCAAAUAAACUUCUUUUCUUUCUAAAUCAUCCA
rnacentral:lncRNA from 1 species